rnacentral:rRNA from 1 species
GAUGAACGCUGGCGGCGUGCCUAAUACAUGCAAGUCGAGCGAACAGAUGAGGAGCUUGCUCCUCUGACGUUAGCGGCGUAUGUGUGUGUAAAACGUGGAUACCCUACCUAUAAGACUGGGAUUAAUUUGGGAAACUGGCGCUAAUACCGGAUUAUAUAUUGAACAACAUGGUUUAAUAGUUAAAGACGGUUUUGCUGUUACUUAUAGAUAGAUCCGUGCCGGACUUACUUGUUGGUAACGUAACGGCUUACCAAGGCAACGAUGCGUGGGCGACCUAGGAGUGUGAUCGGCCACACUGGGACUGAGACACGGACCAGUCUCCUACGGGAGGCAGCAGUAGGGUAUCUUCCGCAAUGGGCGAAAGCGUGACCGAACCACGCCGCGUGAGAGAUGAAGGUCUUCGGAUCGUAAAACUCUAUUAUUAGGGAAGAACAGAUGUGUAAGUAACUGUGCACGUCUUGACGGUACCUAAUCAGAAGGCCACGGCUAAGUACGUG